UACGAAGGUGGCAAGCGUUGUUCGGAUUCACUGGGCGUACAGGGUGUGUAGGCGGUUUGGUAAGCCUUCUGUUAAAGCUUCGGGCCCAACCCGGAAAGCGCAGAGGGUACUGCCAGGCUAGAGGACGGGAGAGGAGCGCGGAAUUCCCGGUGUAGUGGUGAAAUGCGUAGAGAUCGGGAGGAACACCCGUAGCGAAGGCGGCCGACUGGACCACACCUGACGCUGAGGCGCGAAGGCCAGGGGAGCAAACGGG
rnacentral:rRNA from 1 species